rnacentral:rRNA from 1 species
CUAGUAACGGCGAGUGAAGCGGCAACAGCUCAAAUUUGAAAUCUGGCGCAAGCCCGAGUUGUAAUUUGUAGAGGAUGCUUCUGGGUAGCGACCGGUCUAAGUUCCUUGGAACAGGACGUCAUAGAGGGUGAGAAUCCCGUAUGUGACCGGCCCGCACCCUUUACGUAGCUCCUUCGACGAGUCGAGUUGUUUGGGAAUGCAGCUCUAAAUGGGAGGUAAAUUUCUUCUAAAGCUAAAUACCGGCCAGAGACCGAUAGCGCACAAGUAGAGUGAUCGAAAGAUGAAAAGUACUUUGGAAAGAGAGUUAAAAAGCACGUGAAAUUGUUGAAAGGGAAGCGCCUGCAAUCAGACUUCGCGGCAGUGUUCCACCGGUCUUCUGACCGGUCUAUUCUCUGCCGCGAGGCCAUCAUCGUCUCGGCCCGCUGGAUAAGACCUUGGGAAUGUAGCUCACCUUCGGGGGAGUGUUAUAGCUCAUGGUGAUGCAGCGAGGCUGGGGCGAGGUCCGCGCUUUGGCAAGGAUGAUGGCGUAAUGGUUGUCGGCGGCCCGUCUUGAAACACGGACCAAGGAGUCUAACAUCUAUGCGAGUGUUCGGGUGUCAAACCCCUACGCGUAAUGAAAGUGAACGGAGGUGGGAACCGCAAGGUGCACCAUCGACCGAUCCUGAUGUCCUCGGAUGGAUUUGAGUAAGAGCAUAGCUGUUGGGACCCGAAAGAUGGUGAACUAUGCCUGAAUAGGGUGAAGCCAGAGGAAACUCUGGUGGAGGCUCGCAGCGGUUCUGACGUGCAAAUCGAUCGUCAAAUUUGGGUAUAGGGGCGAAAGACUAAUCGAACCAUCUAGUAGCUGGUUCCUGCCG